rnacentral:lncRNA from 1 species
GAGGAUUUGGGAGGCGGGGAAGGUUUGGGUUUGUGGGGUUGUGAUUGGGAGGUUGUUGGCGGCGAGGAGAGAGCGGAGGUUUUUGAUUUCGAAGAGUCUGAGGAUGGAAGCGAGGGUGGUGGUGUUUGGGAGUUUGUAGUCGAUGAGUGAGUUGCAUGUGGCGGUGGAGGUGGUGUUUGAGCAUCGGAAACCUAAACUUGGUGUUUGUGCAGUUGAUUGAAUGGAGAAGAUGGAACAGAGUAAAAACAAUAUGGGGAAGAAAACCAUGUUGGAAAACCCCAUGUUUUCUCUUUGUAAGAUAUUGUGUGCUUGCAAUGG